GGAGCUGCACAGGACGAGUCAGCUGCUGCAAUUAAGAAAGUUUGGUGAAGACAGACACAGAGACUGAGAAGGAGAGAGAGAUAGCGGGCUUGCUGUGUGUUCAGGAUGAUUUUUAUUCCGCAGUGCAAAAAGUUUAAAAGUGAAAGAAAGUGUGUCAGUGUUGGGUGCAGAUGCGCGCCUCGCAAAUGUUUGAAAAAGAAAAAGAAAAAAAGACGUGCAAAGUUUGAACCUGACCGCCUGUGAUGUGGGGAGUAUCCAGUGACACAGGUAUGGCCACUACCUUGGUGAUAAGACUUUGAUCGACAGGCCUCUUCAGUCUGCACUGGAACCAGCUUUUAGGAGAGUACAUUUGCAGUGAAGACUUUCUGAUGAAGAGAAGGAAGGCUGACAAACUGAAAGACAGAGGCAGAAGGAGAGUGGUGCAGUUGGCUGUGCUCUCCACUAGAGGGCGCCUCCUCCCCGCAGUGAGCAGCCUCCUCCCUGCACCACUAUUUUUCUCUGCUACAAUCCUUCAACUUUACCUGCGUCUGAAUUCCCUUCAGUCCACUUUAAACCGUGUUUUCGACGCUUUUUCUGUAAAAUUUCGAUCCAGCAUGAAAAUAACCACAACCAGUUACUGUUUGAUAUCAUUAUCACAGAGUCUGUGUCACAGUAUGUAGCCAUAUUUUAUUUUCAGACGACCAUUUUAUAAGAAAAUGACACGUUUUCCCCACAGAAUAAUUACAAUAUAUAUUACAAAUAACAUGUAUUUAGGUUCUGAUGGUGAAGCUGUGUCGCUUAGUGUUAAUGUAAAGUAUUUUAUUAUUGCAUAAUGGUGUUUGUUCUUUUUCUUGCAUAGCCUAGGCAAUUACUAAUAUUCCUACAAACUCAAUCACGGUGUUUUUUUAAACUAAAAAUACAAGCAUGCUCUUCUAUUCAUUGUUCGGUUUUAUUUAAUAAGUCACACAAUAUAGAUUUUGGUAUUAUAAAAUACUAUUUUUGUUUUACAGCAGACCUCGUGUGUCCUGCUUCGUGUUGCCGUAACAUUGAUGAGAAAAUGCGUCAUUUUCUUACUUUGUCACGUUUCUCAGCAGGAUUUUAAGACAUCCACAUCUCACAUGUGAUUUUUUAUCAAACGAAAAAAUACACAAUAGUUUUCCAACAUGGCUUUAUGAAUUAGUAUUUGACCUACAUGUCACAUCCAUCCCUUUCAGAGCAAUAAACAACCAACAAUAACUAAACCUAAAAUGCCUUUUGUGCAGUUUGUUUAUGAUCAUAUUAUGAUAUUCAGCGUGCUGUUGAUGGGAAGGAAAGGGGGGGAUAUUUUUAAACAAAUUAGAAUAUUUGUGAUUUGCAACAAACGUGUUUAAUAUGCUACAGAGGCACGACUUCGCUAGAAAUCCUGCUAUAAACGUAGCUGACGUCGCCACUUUAGAUGAGUUUUUAUAAAAAUCAGAAGCAGAAAAUUGAUCUGUUUUUCAUAUUUAAUAGCAGCAUAAAGAAGCCUAUCUUCAACCCCAACAUUAAAAAAUAACCGUGGACACUUUUUAAAACGUAAAUAAAAGCAGAAUGCCUCAAACUCAAGAGUUCAGUGUGUGUGUAAAUCCCCUCCAAAACUACAUUUUCAUCAAUUUGAGGAUUUAAUAUAUUGUCUUUGUACUAUAUUGGGUGUAGGUCGAGAAUGAUUGCAUUGUUUUUAUUUCUGUAGCCUACUUCACAGCGUCCCACUCGUUUUGAAUCGGGCUUGCAGCUGCAUUUAUUAUUCUGCCGCGUCUGGAAAGCAAUAUAAAAUCAUCUGCAGCUGUAGAAAACAGUCUAAUACGUAUUAUUAUUUAGUAUGAUGUAUAAUUAGACCAUAAGUGAGUGUAAUUUCCGAAUGAAUGUGCUUCUGCUGAUCAGCUGAUCGUAUUUGGAUCCAGUUUAAAUUGAGACAUAAUGGCCUGUAAAACAUGUCCGCAGAGCUAAAAAGAAGGAAAAAUAGAAUGAUGUUAAAUAAAGUCCAAAUUGACAAGUCUUUAACUUUUUUAGCGUCUUAAAUCUAGUUUGAUCAUCUUCGACGCUUCAUGUGCGACUCUGCGGGGAUUUGCGGCGACUCUUUGCUCUUUAAUGCGUUUAUUUUGCGGUAUUUAUCUAUUUUUUAUUCUUAUUAUGACUCCAUACCGUCGUUACUUUAUUUAUUAUGCAUCUCGUCACAGCAGCAUGUUAUUUAAAUGAGAGAUAUAGGCUAAAGAAUAAAGGUCGGCAGAAGUUUGCUUUAUUCAUCUAUUAAAUCAGGCUUUAUCCCAAACCAGAGGAACUCCAUGCGGAUAAUUUAACGCUGCGUGUUUAUUAGAUAAAAUGCGUCAUAAUUAAAUCUGGAAUUAAGAGAUUUUGAUCCUUAAAUAACGGUUUAGUUCUUUCCAACAAUCUUAAUGAUUAAAGUAAAACCACAAAAUAUCACGAUGUAAUUUGCCUUGUUAAACAUGUGAGUUUGUGGAUGUUGUUGACAGGUAGUUUAUCUCUCUGUAAACAUCAAAACAACAAGAAGCCAUAAUCUAAAUGUCACAGGCCAAUAAACUUCCUGUGUGAGUUUUGACAUUUUGGGCUUGUUUUUUUUCCUGCUCAUCGUUUCCAACCCAGGGGAGGAAAUUCAGUCAAGUCACACAAGCAGGAAUUAAUAAAGAAAUAUAGAUGGGGUUUUAAUAUAUAUAAACAAAAAACCCAUUUGAAGUUGUUAAGUGAUGUAUGGUGUUUGAUUUUUGUGUUUAUUUUUAAAUAAGUCAUUGAAAAAGAGUGAGAAUUGUCUCCUAGCACGUUUAUUUAAUAGAAUUAAUGUUUAAUAAUGUAUCUAUUUUCCUGUUUGAUUAAAGAAUAUGUGUUUAACUUUUGGCUAAAAUAGUAGAUAAGAAAGAAUACCAGAAACUAACUAAAUGCCUCAUCUUCAAUAUGUGGAAAACAUGUCAGUAAAAUCCAGAAACGGAUGUAAACAUGUUUAAACAAACAGCCAGUUGUGAAAUCAACUUCAGCAUUUUGAAUUUCAUUUUCUUUGAACUUUGAAUAUAUAAAGUUUCACAUCUUAA